UACGUAGGGAGCAAGCGUUGUCCGGAUUCACUGGGUGUAAAGGGUGCGCAGGCGGAUUUGUAAGUCAGAGGUGAAAUCUCACGGCUUAACCGUGAAACUGCCUUUGAUACUGCAGAUCUUGAGUUUGGGAGAGGUUGAUGGAAUUCCAGGUGUAGCGGUGAAAUGCGUAGAUAUCUGGAAGAACACCAGUGGCGAAGGCGGUCAACUGGCCCAUAACUGACGCUGAAUCGCGAAAGCUAGGGGAGCAAACGGG
rnacentral:rRNA from 1 species